rnacentral:rRNA from 1 species
GAUGAACGCUGGCGGCGUGCCUAAUACAUGCAAGUCGAGCGAACAGAUAAGGAGCUUGCUCCUUUGACGUUAGCGGCGGACGGGUGAGUAACACGUGGGUAACCUAUCUAUAAGACUGGAAUAACUCCGGGAAACCGGGGCUAAUGCCGGAUAACAUGUUGAACCGCAUGGUUCUACAGUGAAAGGCGGCUUUGCUGUCACUUAUAGAUGGACCCGCGCCGUAUUAGCUAGUUGGUGAGGUAACGGCUCACCAAGGCAACGAUACGUAGCCGACCUGAGAGGGUGAUCGGCCACACUGGAACUGAGACACGGUCCAGACUCCUACGGGAGGCAGCAGUAGGGAAUCUUCCGCAAUGGGCGAAAGCCUGACGGAGCAACGCCGCGUGAGUGAUGAAGGUCUUCGGAUCGUAAAACUCUGUUAUUAGGGAAGAACAAAUGCGUAAGUAACUGUGCGCGUCUUGACGGUACCUAAUCGGAAAGCCACGGCUAACUACGUG